UUCCUUACAUGCACUUGAAUA
ensembl:piRNA 21ur-901 ncRNA